UUCCGGUUGAUCCUGCCGGACCUUACUGCUAUCGGGGUGGGACUAAGACAUGCGAGUCGAGCGUCUCUAGCUAUGUUGAGACGCGGCAGACGGCUCAGUAACACGUGGCUAACCUACCCUCAGGACGAGGACAAACCCGGGAAACUGGGGCUAAUACUCGAUAGGUGAGAAUGUCUGGAAUGAUUUCUCACUCAAAGGACCUUGGAAACAUGCUUCCAUUGUCGCCUGGGGAUGGGGCCGCGUCCGAUCAGGUUGUUGGUGAGGUAAUGGCUCACCAAGCCUAUAACCGGUACGGGCCGUGAGAGCGGUAGCCCGGAGAUGGGUACUGAGACAAGGACCCAGGCCCUACGGGGCGCAGCAGUCGCGAAAACUCCGCAAUGCACGAAAGUGUGACGGGGCUACCCCGAGUGCCAUCCGCUGAGGGUGGCUUUUCCUUGGUAUAACUAGCCGAGGGAAUAAGGAGAGGGCAAGACUGGUGUCAGCCGCCGCGGUAAUACCAGCUCUCCGAGCGGUAGGGAUGAUUAUUGGGCUUAAAGCGUCCGUAGCCGGCUUAGCAAGUCUCCUGUUAAAUUCAGCGACCUAAUCGUUGAGCCGCGGGAGAUACUACUAGGCUAGGAGGCGGGAGAGGUCGACGGUACUUCUGGGGUAGGGGUGAAAUCCUAUAAUCCCGGGAGGACCACCAGUGGCGAAGGCUGUCGACUAGAACGCGCUCGACGGUGAGGGACGAAAGCUGGGGGAGCGAACCGGAUUAGAUACCCGGGUAGUCCCAGCCGUAAACGAUGCGGGCUAGGUGUUGGGGUGGCUACGUGCCACUUCAGUGCCGCAGGGAAGCCAUUAAGCCCGCCGCCUGGGGAGUACGGCCGCAAGGCUGAAACUUAAAGGAAUUGCGGGGGAGCACACAAGGCGUGAAGCUUGCGGUUCAAUUGGACUCAACGCCGGU
rnacentral:rRNA from 1 species